GGCCAUGCAAUGUAGCAAUAUGGUGAUGGAAUGAGGUGGAAGUAAGUGUUUGCAACGUAGUACAUGAUGGAUACGAGUAUGAGGUCAUACACAACAUAUGAAAAUGAGCGGAUGAGAGACCUUUGAAAGCAGUGAGGUGGGAUAGCCUUCUUAAUAUCACCAACUGUGAAAGGGGGCUUCGAGGUUGGUACCUUUUGAAGAGGAUUCUUCUUUACUUCAGUCCCGCCAUUUGGAGCAGACAUACGACCACCAGCUCCCAUUUUCGCUACGCUGCCUCUUCAAUCC
rnacentral:lncRNA from 1 species